AGUUUGAUCAUGGCUCAGAUUGAACGCUGGCGGCAGGCUUAACACAUGCAAGUCGAACGAUGAUUACUAGCUUGCUAGUAUGAUUAGUGGCGAACGGGUGAGUAAUGCUUAGGAAUCUGCCUAUUAGUGGGGGACAACAUUCCGAAAGGAAUGCUAAUACCGCAUACGUCCUACGGGAGAAAGCAGGGGAUCUUUUGACCUUGCGCUAAUAGAUGAGCCUAAGUCGGAUUAGCUAGUUGGUGGGGUAAAGGCCUACCAAGGCGACGAUCUGUAGCUGGUCUGAGAGGAUGAUCAGCCACACUGGGACUGAGACACGGCCCAGACUCCUACGGGAGGCAGCAGUGGGGAAUAUUGGACAAUGGGCGAAAGCCUGAUCCAGCCAUGCCGCGUGUGUGAAGAAGGCCUUUUGGUUGUAAAGCACUUUAAGUGGGGAGGAAAAGCUAAUAAUUAAUACCUAUAGCCCUGACGUACCCCAG
rnacentral:rRNA from 1 species